GACGAACGCUGGCGGCGUGCUUAACACAUGCAAGUCGAACGGAAAGGCCCUGCUUUUGUGGGGUGCUCGAGUGGCGAACGGGUGAGUAACACGUGAGUAACCUGCCCUUGACUUUGGGAUAACUUCAGGAAACUGGGGCUAAUACCGGAUAGGAGCUCCUGCUGCAUGGUGGGGGUUGGAAAGUUUCGGCGGUUGGGGAUGGACUCGCGGCUUAUCAGCUUGUUGGUGGGGUAGUGGCUUACCAAGGCUUUGACGGGUAGCCGGCCUGAGAGGGUGACCGGCCACAUGGGGACUGAGAUACGGCCCAGACUACUAAGGGAGGCAGCAGUGGGGAAUAUUGAACAAUGGGCGGAAGCCUGAUGCAGCAACGCCGCGUGCGGGAUGACGGCCUUCGGGUUGUAAACCGCUUUCGCAUGUGACGAAGCGUGAGUGACGGUAAUGGGUAAAGAAGCACCGGCUAACUACGUG
rnacentral:rRNA from 1 species